AGGUGCGAUCAUACCAGCACUAAUGCACCGGAUCCCAUCAGAACUCCGCAGUUAAGCGUGCUUGGGCGAGAGUAGUACUAGGAUGGGUGACCUCCUGGGAAGUCCUCGUGUUGCACCUCUUUCCCUCACGGGAGGUAGCAUUAACGGACUCG
rnacentral:sRNA from 1 species